rnacentral:tRNA from 1 species
GGCCCUCUGGCGCAACGGUAGCGCGUUCGACUCCAGCUUCAUCUCCUGAGGUCAACAUCGAAAGGUUAUCCGUUCAAAUCGGGUGGGGGUCA